CGUCGCCUGUUGUGUGCGAGCAGGUCCAAAUCCCUUAGAACCUAGAAUACCCAGAGGGGGCCCGGAUAAGCGGGCUGUUGAGCAUGUCCGCCUUGCGCGGAAAGCCUGAUGCGCGCUUUGGGGCUCCCACUUGAACCGUUCGGUUCAAGGUAUCGGGCCGAUACGACAUAUACGGGUGGCGC
rnacentral:other from 1 species